GAAGGUCUAAUAAUGGUUCGGAUAGAAGAUGCGCCCUUGUGACAAUGAUUUACCAAAAAAGCGGGAAAUAUAGAACUCCCCUCCGUAAUUUAAAAGAGACGACAUUGGUACAAGGAAAUGUGAUUGUCCGUUUAAGGUUCGUGGUUACAUGUUGGCAAACGAAAAUUGGAGAUUUAAUGUGAUAUGUGGUUUGCAUAACCAUGAUUUGUGUUUAGGGUGCGGUUCCAGAGAUAUAUCUCUGAAAUCAACAUGUUAGUCAUUGAGUGGUCCAUAUUGAUCUAUGGCUUCUAUAAUUUAAGGUGUUCUUUUGUUAUAUUUCACACAAACUGAAAAUAUCUCAAAUGUUG
rnacentral:lncRNA from 1 species